GGGUGUAAAGCUCCUUUCGUCAGGGAAGAUAGUGACGGUACCUGGAGAAGCAGCUGCGGCUAACUACGUGCCAGCAGCCGCGGUAAUACGUAGGCAGCAAGCGUUGUUCGGAGUUACUGGGCGUAAAGGGUGUGUAGGCGGUUCUUUAAGUUUGGUGUGAAAUCUCCCGGCUCAACUGGGAGGGUGCGCCGAAUACUGAGGGACUAGAGUACGGGAGAGGAAAGUGGAAUUCCUGGUGUAGCGGUGAAAUGCGUAGAUAUCAGGAGGAACACCGGUGGUGUAGACGGCUUUCUGGACCGUAACUGACGCUGAGACACGAAAGCGUGGGUAGCAAACAGGAUUAGAUACCCUGGUAGUCCACGCCCUAAACGAUGCAUAUUUGGUGUGGGCAGUUCAUUCUGUCCGUGCCGGAGCUAACGCGUUAAAUAUGCCGCCUGGGGAGUACAGUCGCAAGGCUGAAACUCAAAGGAAUUGACGGGGGCCCGCACAAGCGGUGGAGCAUGUGGUUCAAUUCGACGCAACGCGAAGAACCUUACCUGGCUCGAACGGCUUCUCAACGCCGGUAGAAAUACUGGUACCCCGCAAGGGGGUGGAGUCGAGGUGCUGCAUGGCUGUCGUCAGCUCGUGUCGUGAGAUGUUGGGUUAAGUCCCGCAACGAGCGCAACCCCUGUCCUGUGUUGCCAUCAUUCAGUUGGGAACUCGCAGGAGACCGCCAGCGAUAAGCUGGAGGAAGGUGGGGAUGACGUCAAGUCCUCAUGGCCUUUAUGUCCAGGGCUACACACGUGCUACAAUGGACGGUACAAACCGCAGCAAACCCGCGAGGGGGAGCCAAUCGGAAAAAACCGUUCUCAGUUCGGAUUGCAGGCUGCAACUCGCCUGCAUGAAGCUGGAAUCGCUAGUAAUGGCAGAUCAGCGCGCUGCCGUGAAUACGUUCCCGGGCCUUGUACACACCGCCCGUCACAUCACGAAAGUGGAUUGUACUAGAAGUCUGCAGGCUGACCCGCAAGGGGGGCAGCGGCCCAAGGUAUAUCCAGUAU
rnacentral:rRNA from 1 species